rnacentral:rRNA from 1 species
CUCCGGAACCUCCAAUCGCUAGUAAUCCCCCAUCACCAUCCCGGGGUCAAUACGUUGCCCCGCCUUCUACACACCCCCCGUCACACCACGAGAGUUUCUAACACGCCAAGUCCGUCACCUAACCUUUUACGACCCACCCCGCGAACGUCGGACACAUCAUUCCCGUCAACUCCUAACAAGCUAGCCCUAUCCCAACCUCGCCCUCCAUCACCUCCUUUCUAACGAUAUUAUACCGAAUAUAACACCCAACCUCUUAUAAACAGAACCUUCCCUCUCUUCUUUACUUUUGAACCAUCAUUCCUUCCAAACCUCUUCUUUGAAAACUACAUAACACUACACAUCACAUUCAAUUAGUAACAGAACAUAUCACAUACUCAUUCUUUUUAACCCUUAACUUACAAACCGCCCACCCUCGAUCCCUUGGCAGUACCAGGGCAUCAACCACCGGACGAACACCCAU